GUAAAUGUUUCAUGAUAAUAGGUUAGGUAAAUGUUCCAUGAUAAUAGGUUAGGUAAAUGUUCCAUGAUAAUGGGUUAGGUAAAUGUUUCAUGAUAAUGGGUUAGGUAAAUGUUUCAUGAUAAGAAUAUCAUGUCUUUUGUAUUAAAGAAUUAAAUGGAUGAAAUAUGAAGUUUUAUUAAAAGAAAAAGGGGUGAAAAGAACAAAGUUUUGUCCAUCUUUGUUCAUCAUAGCUGAAAGUUAGAGAAGAGAAAGGAGAGGAGAAAGCUCUUGAGUAUUCGGUCAUUAGGAGGAGGAAAAUUGAAGGAAAUCCCCAACCAUAGUGGGCUUGGAGCUGUGAGGGAAUUCGGAGUGGCCACCCAUUCUGAAAGUUUGAUUUUCUUCUGGUGAACUGGACAUCCUUUUAAUUACGUUUGAGGUUUUAGGCUUUUAAAUGUAAUAAGGCCGCUUAUUUAUUUUUGAUGGUUUUUAAUAUGUAUUACUAAGAUAGGUAAUACUUAUUUUAACUGUUGAAAUUGGAUAGCUUUAGGGCGCGUUUUCAAAAACAA